CGGGCUGUAUGAAAAAUGCUAAAAUAAUUUAGCUGCUCAGACCCAAACGAUCAAGAAAGGAUCCCAGACUUGCUCCGUCUAUGCGCCCUGAACCUGAAGAUAGAGACCCCAGCUAAGACCUAUUUAGUUUAGUUGCCUCGGGUGAGCUGAACUACCAGAACUAGUUCUUUACAACUCGUGCCCCGGAGCCCUCUAUCUAGAAUAGCUCUCUCUAGAUUUUCCA
rnacentral:lncRNA from 1 species